rnacentral:rRNA from 1 species
UACGUAGGGGGCAAGCGUUGUCCGGAAUCAUUGGGCGUAAAGAGCGUGUAGGCGGCCCGGUAAGUCCGCUGUGAAAGUCCAGGGCUCAACCCUGGGAUGCCGGUGGAUACUGUCGGGCUCGAGUCCGGAAGAGGAGUGUGGAAUUCCUGGUGUAGCGGUGAAAUGCGCAGAUAUCAGGAGGAACACCGGUGGCGAAGGCGGCGCUCUGGACCGAGACUGACGCUGAGGCGCGAAAGCGUGGGGAGCAAACAGG